UCAGCUUCAUACAUUUUUCAUUCCAGGACCCCUGCUGAAGAAGCAGCAGCAAUCUGGGGAAUAUUCUCCUGGAAGAAUACAGAAAUAUAAGAGAGUUGGCAGGGAUGCAAACCAUCUCCUAAAAGUCUCUGCUCUGAACCAGUACACYGUUCCUUCUGUCAUAUUCCAUUCACCAAAGCAACUCACCACUGUCCUCCUAUCACCGCGGACCCUAUUACCACCGGUGCCCUCCAACCUCACUGAAAAGACUGUCACUGGGCGCCAACCUCUCCCAGGACUUGGGACCUCCGGCCCGCUCUUCUCCAGCCCAGCUCACCGCACGCCAGGGCGCGGUCCUCUGCUUCCCCGGCUCCAGCUGCCCACGCCCUCACCUCAUCCAAGGCGCGCCCACAGAGGCUGCUUCUUCCUCCUCUGCAGCCACUGCCCAGCUCCCGACCGGCUCCGGGCGUCGUCUUUCCYGGCUGGGGUGCUGCCGCAGGGACUGUGGGACUCGCACCGCGUCCCCAAACCAGUGAGGCGUGUGGUGAGUCCGGCGGGACGCGCGGCGGCAGCAGCCACAGUCGCAUUGGCGACAGCAGGACCCGUUAUCUGUCCUCUUCAUGGAUUUCCCGGCCCUGGCCACACCAGUGCUAGUUAUCAGUCCUUGCUGGGUUUUCCUAGCCUUCCCGGACUGCCCAGGUGCAUCCUCUGAGCAUGCAUGAGCUUUCACUUCAGCUGCCAAUGUGCUGGAGGAAAUGUGGUCAGACCCAGCCUCCUCUGAGGCUGCUCAGCCUACUGCUCCGCCCAGAUAGAUGGCUUGGUCCUUCUUCUACAAACACCUCCUUUUCCCUUCAUUCCCUAUCGUCUCCCCUUUCUUUCUUUAUUCCCUACUUCAACCUGUAGUAUUUUUUUUUUUCCAUUUCUAGAUCCCCACUCCUGCCUUUYUGUGCACUCCAAUGUCACCUUCUCAGUUUCUAACCUCGAAUACGUUUCUCCUGUUCUCAAUCCUUUUUUCAAUAUUUCCCCUUUUUGUCCUCACGCUAACUCAGUUACCCUCUUGUAUUCAUUUUCCCUGUUAUUAGCUCCUUAGAAUGACUGCUCCAGUCUGUUGGCUAUCCUCUUUGCUUCCUCUUUCCUCCUUGCCCUCUCUCCUAAAAUCUGCUUUUCCUUUGAACUUUCCUUUUAGAUACUGCAAAAAUGUGCUCCUGAACAGAUUGCCAUUUUUCAUUAAAAAUUCRUAGUAAAAUAUAUAUCUGUAUUUUGUUGCCCACCAAUUCAAGUGUUUUCAUCUUUAAAAAAAAAUCAUAGGUCAAAAAAUCCUCCACUAAAUGUUCAUUGUAAAAGCCCAUUUCUUUCAUUCCACAUAUGUCUCUGAAGAACAGUGACUCCUUAAGUCUCCAGUAAAGCUGAAACUAUUUUCCACUAAAAUGGUCUACACAGGCACCAGGCCUAUAAGGGAACAAGGUUUACCUUUGAAGUUGUAUACCAUGAUCUUAAGAUUCAAAGACAAUUACCAUUAUUGUUGAUGAACUCAAUGUGAACAAAGUGGAACUCAUUCUAACUCAUCUUUCCUCCCAAAUCUGCUGCUUGGUCCUCUAUUUUUUAACCCCAGCACUAUCAUCCAUCCAGCUGCCCCAGCCCCAAGCCUGUAUGUUGUCAGAGAUUUAUCUCUGGUUCAUCCUGUCUCUAAUUCAACUUCUUUAUCUUUAGUCCUUCCCAUAAUGAUUCCAGUUGACUUCAGAGAAUGAAUUAUCAAAUACCUCAAUAUUCUUUCAAACUUCUUAACUUAAUCUGUAUCUUUCUCCUUAUCGUUUUUCCAAUCUAUCUUAUCUGGGCUAUUCAUCUUAUUGCUUGACAAGGAAAUUCUUAAUUAUCUCUUCUUGUCCUUAUAUCUUCUACCUUUCCUUCUUCAUUAGGUCCAUCUCCAGUCCAUAAACAUAUGUUGCUUCCUCAUCCCUAAAAUAAAGUAUCUAGCCUCUCACUUCCUUUUACA
rnacentral:lncRNA from 1 species